rnacentral:rRNA from 1 species
GACGAACGCUGGCGGCGUGCUUAACACAUGCAAGUCGAACGAAGUGGCGAACGGGUGAGUAACGCGUAAUCAACCUGCCCUUCGGAGGGGGACAACAGUGGGAAACGACUGCAAAUCCCGCAUGCUGAAGAAGGGGUUUGCGGGUGAUUAGCUAGUUGGGGGGGUAACGGCCUACCAAGGCGAGGAUCAGUAGCCGGUCGGAGAGGAUGACCGGCCACAUUGGGACUGAGACACGGCCCAGACUCCUACGGGAGGCAGCAGUGGGAAAUCUUCGGCAAUGGACGAAAGUCUGACCCAGCAAUGCCGCGUGAGUGAAGAAGGUUUUCGGAUUGUAAAACUCUGUUGUUAGAGAAGCGGUACCUAUUCAGAAAGCCACGGCUAACUACGUGCCAGCAGCCGCGGUAAUUC